rnacentral:lncRNA from 1 species
GCGUUUUCUCCUCCGCCACUUCUUCAAGAGUUUUCCUUACGUGGGGGUUUAAUUGAGAUGCCCGUUUGGUUUGCCUCCAUGGAAAACCUCACCCACCUAUCAUUAGGGUAUUCUAAUCUAUCCGAGAAUCCAACUUCAGUCCUUCAGUUGAUUCCCAAAUUGAAGCAUCUUAAACUCUGGGAAGCCUACAAGGCAAGGCACAUUGGUAAAGAAUUUUGCAAUGCAGGUGGUUUCCCUGUGCUGGAAACUCUCACAAUUGCUUCUGCGUUCCUGGCGGAAUGGACUGAAAUUGAAACUGGAGCUUUUCCACGUUUAAGAUAUCUUUGUUUUUAUUGCUGUCCAAGCUUGAUGUUUCUUCCUGAAGGGUUGCAGAACAUUUCCACACUUCAAGAUCUGUGUUUCUUCCCCUGGAAUCCAGACCUUAAAAGGCGAUUGAAGGGUGAAGAGAAUUACAAGAUCAAGCAUGUCCGAGUAUUUGGGAAGGUUUGAGAACCGUUGAUUUUCCAACCAAGAAAUGGAAAAACAUCAACCACAAUAGUUUCCAGAGGAAGUUUUUCGAGGAUGAAAUGCUUUUGCUUUACUCCUCAAAUAUCAUCUCCUGCUUUCUGUUCAUUUACUUCAAUAUUCUGGUGAUGUGUGCUAUCCUCUACUGUCUUGUAUACCUAAAUUUGUGCAAUCUCCAGCGGAGAAACCAGUGUCCUAGACUCCAAAAAAUCUAUCUUGAUGAUGAACGAUGUGUUUAUCUAUUUGCAUUUCCUUAAUAUCUGGAUUAUUAUCUAAUUAUUCUAUAGAAUUGCCCUUCUUCUAGAUUUCUCUCUAAGGAUUGAAUCAUUAGAAAAUCAAGGUUUUUUAUUCCUGUUUUUUUCGCUUGAAGUGGACUUGCUAGGUAAGAAACACGUCUAUUAUAUUGGCAGCAGUUCAUAUAAAUUAUACAUCCCAUUCCGUGUUUACAUAGAAUCAAAGGCGUAACAAAUAUUGUUUAUGCCUUUUAUUUUAUUCAAUUAAUUAAUUUUAUAUAUGUUUAUUUUUUUAUUAUUUAUUUAAAUAAAAUAUUAAUUUUUGUGAACAGAUUGUCUUGAAGAUCCAAGUUGCAAGAUCAAAUAUCUUGGUCUAUAUGCGACUUUUAACUUUUUAAUUUUUAUUUUUAUUUAUCAGUAAUGAUUAUUUAUUUAUUUAUUAACAUAUGUAUUUUUUAAUUUAUUUUAUUAGAUGUAUAAAUAAGUUUUUUUUAAUUUUGAUUAAAAACAAAACAUUGAAAAAAUCUACAUAUUUAUUUUUUUAUAAAAACCUCAAAGUUAAAUAGCUAUUAAAAACUAGCCGCCAUUGUAGGGUUUGAUAGAAAAGAUAUUGGGCUGGUAUAUCAUAUUAUUACUGUUAUUAACUAUUACCACUAUAUACUAAAAAAUAACAACAGUGCAUUAUUGUGCUCAAUUUGGACAGGACUUUUCAAGAACAAUGUUGUUUUUUUUUUUUUCAUUUUGAUCAUCAAAUAUUAUUAUGAUUAUCAGUAUUAUUGUUAUAUUCUUGCAAGUUAAAUUUAAAUUUACUAUUUUUUUAUAAGUUUAAUUUAUGCAUAUAUGAUCCCCAUAGUCUAAGAAUUAUAAGUUUCAAUCCUAGAUUUAUUUAUUUAUUUAUUUUAGUCUUCGAGUAUUGAAAGAUGUUAGAAAAAAAAAAAAAAAAGUCAGUUGAUCACGUUCUUGUUAUCAAAAAAACCAAUCUUGUUAUCAAUGAAUUUGUCUUACAAAUAUAAGUUCUAUGAAGAAGGUUUAGAACUUUUAUCCUGUUAAAAACACAUAUCAAGACUUAGAAAGUUUUUUUAUUUAUUUAUUUGGUUUGAUUUUAGAUUUUAGACAGAUUAAAUGGUGUUUUGGAGUUAACAUGAGUUUAAUUAGGUUCUUAAAAUGUUUCUUUUUUAAUGUUUUGAGAUAAAAAAUAAAUUGAAAAAUAAUAUUUGAAGCUGCAAAACUCAUACUUUAAAUUCAAAUCAUCAAAAUGGUAAAAAUUCAAACUAGAAUGUGGCACCCAUUGUUUCUUAUUAAAAAAGGAAUAUUAGAAAAAAUAAAGCAUGGAAUAAAAGUUUUUUUUUAUGGUAAAAUGAACCAUUACUUUGAAUUAUGAUAUAAGAAGGUAAUAUGCAAUUGUUUUUUUUUAAAAAAAUGUUCAUAAAUAUUAAAUGAGAAUGAAACUAUUUUGUUAUGUUUUAUUGCAUAAUGUUUACAGAAUUUUGAUGAUUAAUUAUUCUUUAUGUUUUUCUUCUGUUGUGUACAAAUUAUUGAUUCAUGAUUUUUUAUAUUUGUAAUGAAAAUUGCUUUUCAAAUCAUGAUAAAUCUUUAUUUAAAAAACAAUACUUUUAUUAAAAAACAUGGUUUUUGAAAACCAAGAAGAAAUACAUGAAUAAUAAAAGUGAUUUUUAAUUGAAAACGAUAUAUAUUUUUCUUUUUUAAUUCAAAUCAUUAAUAUUUUUAUAAAUAAAUAUUUUAAUUAUUUGUAGUUUUUAUUCAAAAACAUGCUACUAAUUAAAAAAAAAAACAUGUUCUUGUCAUACAAAAAUACAUGAAUAAGAAAUGAAAAACUCACUUAACAUAAUUUUUACACGACUAUUUGUUUUUCUCUCCACGGAAUCGGUUGGAAGUGGACUUGACAGUUAAGAAACACGUCUAUUAGAUUGGCAACAGUUCAUAUAAAUUAUACAUCCCAUUCCGUGUUUACAUAGAAUCAAAGGCGUAGCAAAUAUUGUUUUGGCCUUUUAUUUUAUUUAAUUAAUUAAUUUUAUAUAUGUUUAUUUUUGUAUUAUUUAUUUAAAUAAAAAAUUAAUCUUUGUGCAUAGAGUUAUUAAACACGAUUGUCUUGAAGAUCCAAGUUACAAGAUUAAAUAUUUUAUCUAUAUGUGAAUUUUAACUUUUUAAUUUUUAUUUUUAUUUAUCGUUAAUGAUCAUUUAUUUAUUAACAUAUGCAUUUCUCAAUUUAUUUUAUUAUAUGUAUAAAUAAGUUUUUUUUUUAAUUUUGAUUUAAAAAAAACAUUGAAAAAAUCUACAUAUUUAUUUUUUUAUAAAAAAAUUCCAACUCUAAAUCAAAUAGCUAUUAAAAACUAACCAAUGUAGGUUUGAUAUAGAGGAUAUUGGGCUGGUAUAUCAUAUUAUUACUGUUACACCAUUAAAUAGUUUUACCGACGGUUUAAGUUCGUCGGUGUGAGGCACAAAAACCAUCGGUAAUAUUUUUACCGACGGGCUCAUCGACAAAACACGUUAGUUGAAAUUUUAAUUGUUGGUAAUUUUUCUUUUCAUCACUAAUUCUAUUAAUAAUUAAAAAAAACCAAAUAUCGACGAGACAACAGUAUAUUAUUGUAAAAACUAGCCACUAUAGCUUAGAUUGAGAGGAUAGUGGGCUGAUAUAUCAUAUUGUUACUCUUAUUAACUAUUACCACUGUAUACUUAAAAAAAAUAAAAAUGUACAUUGUUGUGCUAAAUUUGGAUAGGAAUUUUAAAGAAUGGUGUUGUUUUCUUUCAUUUUUAUCAUCAAAUAUCAUUAUGAUUAUAAUUAUAAUUAUUAUUAUUGUUAUAUUCUUGCAAGUUAAAUUUGAAUUCGCUUCUUUUUAUUUAUAAGUGUAAUUUAUGCAUAUAUGAUCCCUAUAACUUUAGAAUUAUAAGUUUCAAUCAUAGACUUAUUUAUUUAUUUAUUUAUUUCAAUCUCGGAGUGUUGAGAGAUGUUAAGAAAAUAGAAAAGAAAGAAAGAAAUUCAGUCAGUCACAUUAUGGUUAUGAAAAAAGCCAAUCUUGUUAUCAAUGAAUUUGUCUUCCAAAUAUGAGUUCUAUGAAGAUGGUUUAGAAUUUUAAUCUUGUUAAAAACAGCGAUCGAGAUUUAGAAAGUUUUUUUUAUUUGGUUUGAUUUUAGAUAUUUAGACGGAUUAAAUGGUGUUUUGGAGUUAAAAUGAAUUUAAUUAAGUUCUUAAAAUGUUUUUUUUUUUAAUGUUUUGAGAUAGAAAUAAAUUGAAAAAUAGUAUUUGAAGUUGCAAAACUCAUACUUUAAAUUCAAAUCAUCAAAAUGGUAAAAAUUCAAACUAGAAUGUGGCACCCAUUGUUUCUUAUUAAAAAAGGAAUAUUAGAAAAAAUAAAGCAUGGAAUAAAAGCUUUUUUAUGGUAAAAUGAACCAUUACUUUGAAUUAUGAUAUAAGAAGGUAAUAUACAAUUGUUUUUUUUUAAAUGUUCAUAAAUAUUAAAUGAGAAUGAAACUAUUUUGUUAUUUUUUAUUGUAUAAUUUUUACAGAAUUUUGAUGAUUAAUUAUUCUUUUAUGUUUUUCUUCUGUUGUGUACAAAUUAUUGAUUCAUGAUUUUUAUAUAUUUUUUAAUGAAAAUUGCUUUUAUUAUUCAUGUAUUUCUUCUUGGUUUUCAAAAAACAUGUUACUAUAUAUUUUGUUAUUUUUUAUUGUAUAAUUUUUACAGAAUUUUGAUGCUUAAUUAUUCUUUUAUGUUUUUCUUCUGUUGUGUACAAAUUAUUGAUUCAUGAUUUUUAUAUUUUUUUUGAAUGAAAAUUGCUUUUCAAAUCAUGAUAAAUAUUUAUUUUAAAAACAAUACUUCUAUUAAAAAAACAUGUUUUUUGAAAACCAAGAAGAAAUACAUGAAUAAUAAAAGCAAUUUUUAAUUGAAAACGCUAUAUAUUUUUAUUUUUUAAUUCAAAUCAUUAAUAUUUUUAUGAAUAAAUAUUUUAAUUAUUUGUAGUUUUUAUUCAAAAACAUGCUACUAAUUAAAAAAAAACUUGUUCUUGUCAAACAAAAAUACAUGAAUAAGAAAUGAAGAACUCACAUAACAUAAUAUUUUUUUCUCUCCGCAAUUUAAAUCAUUGUAUAUUUUUUUUAAUAAAUAUUAAUUUUAAUUACCACAAAACUAAAUGAAAACAGAUUUUGAAAACCGCCACACAAGGGAAAAAAUUAGUAAAUAUAUUAAAAGAGCUAGACUUUUUAUUGUAACUCUGAUAUUGUUCAAAUAGAAAUAAAACAUCGUGGAUUACUCCGUGGAAAAACACUGCAAUCUCUAUUGUUGACCUACAAAUAAAAAAAUAUUGAUUUUAUGCUCUAGUCCCUAAAGCUUUUAAUUUUUAGUCAUUUUAAUUUAAAGUCUCUUAGUUUUUGUCUUCAAACUUCAUUUUUAUAAUAUUUCAGUUUUUAUAUUCCGAGAAAAGAGAGAGAAAUUUUUCACUCAUCCAUAUUUAUCCGACAAAAAAAUCAAUCUUAAUAUCAAUAAAUUCAUUUUAGAUUGGGAAGGUCAAUAAAAAUGCUUUUGCUCUUUAACCAUACCAAAAAAUAGAUUGAAGCAUUUUAUUAUAGCUUUGGUAUUGUUCAAGCAUUGAUAAAACCUAUGAAAUCUCUAUUGUCCAGUAAGAAAUAAAACACUGUUCAUUUUACACUUUGAUCAUUGGAGUUUUCAAUUUUUUUUCAUAUUUAAUCCAUGUAGUUUUUAUUUUGUUCAUUUUAGUCUUGGAACUUUAUUUUCACCACAUUUUUGUUCCUAGAUUCUAAGAGAGGAGAAGGAAAAUAGUUAAAAAACAAAGAAGAUAAAUAUUUUAGCUAGCCAUAAAAGAGACUAAUGUUGGUGUUAAUGAGUUAAUUUUAGAAAGAUAAAAUUAAUGGAUGUGGUAUUUCUCCUUUAACCAUGAUGGAAAAAGUAAAUUGAGGCCUGAAAUUUUUUUUUUCCUUCUUGAUUUAUGAUUUUUUAAGUGAUUAAAUAAUAUUUUGGGAUUGUAAAUGAAGUUACCAAGGUUCAUAAUAUUUAUUUUUAAUUGUUUUUAGAUGAAAAGAAGUUGAAGUUUUGAUUUUAAGGGUCCAAAUAUCUCAGAAUCUUCUAGUACUCGAAAAUUGUACCGGUAGAUAACACGUAGUCUAACCAAGCAGAUAAUGUGUUGUCUAUUUAAUUAUUUUUUUAUAUAAAAAAAUAGGUUAGACUACAUGUAUUCUGCCCUUCCUUCCAGACUUAGGUGUGAUGGCUCUUCACCUUUUGUUUUUUUCUUACAUUUUUUAUUUUUUUAAUAAAAUUAUCUUUAAAUAAAAUUAUUAAAAUUAUUUUUGAUUGAUGAGUUUAAGUAUUGAAAUUGAAAGGACAAAGAGAGAGCCAAACUUAGAAAAUAGAUGUUGGUGCAGUCUAAACUGGAACACUGUUCGGUAAUUGGGUCAUAUCUCGAGUUCCAGGUGUCCAAAUGACCUUAACUUUUUGAAAAUAUUUGGUAAGACAUAGGUCUAUAACUUUCAUGUGGAGUCCAAGAUUUAAAAAAGUCGUUUUUAAGUCCAAAUUAUAGCAACAACGGAGAAGUCCGAAUCUGUCCUGUAGCUCAGACAUUGUUCAGUGUUGAACCCAUAUCUCGAGUUCUAGAAGUCCAAAUGACCUCAAUUUUUUUUCCUGGAAAGAUAAGACAAUUUCCUAUAACUUUUGUACGUACAGGUGGUUCUAGUUCUGAUGCUAACAAUGACGUUUUAUUUAGACAAGAAGAUAAGAGUUUUCACCAAGUCAAGAGUUGGCCACCCACUUAACAAUUAGUCAUCAAAUCAAUAGUUUCAAAUUUUGGCCUAUAAAAAAAGGCAUUUGCCAUGUAUUUAGGGGCUUGGUUGUUCAUAUCAAGAACUUGUUCUUGCUCUCUUUUUUUAUAUUUGUUUUUAUAAUUAUUAAGUUUUACUUUCAUUAGUAUUUGUUUAUGCUUUUCAUUUUCUUUCCUUUACUUAGUUAAUUUGUAUCUUAUUUAUGUUCUUGUUUUGUUUAUUUAUGUUUCUCUUCUUCAUUAUGUUUAGUUAAGUUUAUUAUGUCAAGGUGAAAAAGUUACACUAAUGGUGUAAGAAUAAGUAUAGUGUAAACUCAACAUGGACCUUAAUGUUUAAUAUUAACAUGUCUUAUCUUUUUAUCUCACUAAUUCUUAAUACCUGCUUGUUAAAUGGUUAAUCUAGAUUUGUGUUGUACAAUACUUGGUACAACAAAUGUUUGACACUCUCAUAGCCUAACCGUAUGGUAUUAUGGUAUUACCUAUACCUAUGUUGUGCAAGGAACUUGAUUUGUUGUUAACAUAAGUUAGCAUCAUGAAUUCCUGAAAAUAUUUAAAAGUUUGGUAUUACUUAAAUAAGAUAAUUAAUAUAAUCAUGUUAAUAAUUUAUAAUAAGCUAUUAAUGAUAAAUCAUCCGAUUGGAACCUCUUUUGUGUGUGGUUUCUAGUUGAAUAAUAAGAGUUUAUAGUAUACUUGUUUGAAAUACCAUUAGUGGAUCCUCUAACGUUGACAUUUGUUUUUAUCAUUGUUUAAUCUUUAUAUUAAUCUUUCAUCUCAAAGUUCUCAUCAACUUUUUCUUCAUCUUCUUUAUUAUUAUUAUUGUUGUUGUUGUUGUUGUUGUUAUUGUUAUUGUUGUUGUUGUUGUUGUUGUUGUCGUUGAUGUUGUUAUAUUAUUGUUGUCUAUAAUUUAUACAAUUAACCUCCCUGUGGUUUGACCCCGUCUUGCCUGGUUAUUUAUUACUUCGACACUCUUACACUUAGAAGAAAACAUCAAUCUUUUGGUCGUGUCAAAUUGCACUAUAAGAUAGCGAUGUGUUUUUUUUUAUAUUGUUCCUUAAGAACAAAAAAGUUUAUUUUGGUACCUAUAUUUUUGAAGUUUUACAUAUUUUUUUGGUAAUGCAUUUUUACAUACUUUAGGUGCGCUCGAGCUUGAUUUUUUUUGUCCGUCACCUUUUUUCUUCUCUUUUCAAUCAAUAUUUUUGUCUUAAAAGAAAACAAAAUAAAAUUCUAUUCUAAAUAAAAUUAUUGAUAUGAUAUUAAAAACAUUAUCAUGCUGUGCUAUAAUUUUUAAAUAAAAUUAUAGUUUUUAUGGUAAUAUUAAUAAUUGUUUUAUAAAUGAUAAACAUCAACAACAACUGCAAAUUAAAUUAAUUUUGUCUUAAUGAUAAUUUUUUAAACUCAUAAAAUCGUAGCUAAUGGAGUGAUUGUUGGAGAGGUUUAUAUUUUUUAUUACAAAACUAAUAAAUCUAAAAAGGAUGAAUUAUUUUGUGUAAGAAUUUUUAGGCCUAGAAAAAUGGGAUUUGUGCUUGUGAUAAUUAUCUAGUAUUGGAGAUGAAAAGAAAGAACCAAAAUUUUAAAGGAAUAAAUAUAAUGAUAUUUUGAUUUGCAGUGUGGUAAUAAAUAGGAGCAACAUGGGAUCAUUCCUUUCAAAGCCAAAAAGAGGAAUUUAUUGAAGGGGAAAUAAGAAAUAUUUUGUUAUUCUUAAGAGGGGAUUCUUUCUUUUAAUUGUUGGUGUUCCUGUGAUUUCUUAUAUUUAGAUGUGAUUUAUUAAUAAUAAUAAAUAAAAAUAAUAAGAAAUAGAAAGAAAUUCAUCGUCUGGAUCGUAUAUCAACAUCCAAUUAUUAAAAAAAAAUGAAAAAAGAAAAGGUUCCAUCACAACUCAUAUAGAUACAAAUAGUGGAAGCAAGAAUAUUUGACAUAUUUCAUUUUUAAGCAGAAACUUGAUUUUUCUUCCUGAAGGGUUGCAGAACAUUUCCACACUUCAAGAUCUGCGUUUCCGCCCCUGGAAUCCAGACCUUAAAAGGCGAUUGAUGGGUGAAGAGAAUUACAAGAUCAAGCACGUCCCAAAUAUUUGGAUGGUUUGAGAAUCGUUGAUUUUCCAACCAAGAAAUGGAAAAACAUUAACCACAAUAGUUUCCACAGGAAGUCUUUCAAGGAUGAAAUGCUUUUGCUUUACUCCUCAAAUAUCAUCUCCUGCUUUCUGUUCAUUUACUUCAAUAUUCUGGUGAAGUAUGCUAUCCUCUACUGUCUUGUAUACCUAAAUUUGUGCAAUCUCCAGCGGAGAAACCAGUGUACUAGACUUCAAAAAAUCCAUCUUAAUGAUGAACGAUGUGUUUAUCUAUUUGCAUUUCCUUAAUAUCUGGAUUAUUAUCUAAUUAUUCUAUAGAAUUGCCCUUCUUGUAGAUUUCUUAAGGAUUGAAUCCUUAGAAAAUCAAGGAGACAGAUCUGUCUUUCGGGUUACCAGUGAAAAUUUAUUCUUGUUUUUUUCGUUUGGAAGUGGACUUGCUAGAUAAGAAACACGUCUAUUAUAUUGACAACAGUUCAUAUAAAUUAUACAUCCCAUUCCGUGUUUACAUAGAAUCAAAGGCGUAGCAGAUAUUGUGUCUACAUCGCAUUAAAAUUUGAAUAAACCAUCGGAUGCACGAGUAUGAACUACCCUGUAUCCCUAGUUAGCCUAGAUGCUACUGUGUCCUCUUAAUGUUCUCUAAUACAGGCGUGAUAAGAACAUUUUAUUUGAUGAUAGAGCUUUCUUCUCGUCCCAUGUAUCAAGUCACUACAUUUCCAUUGGUAUUGUCGAUGAUUGCUGAUAACCUCUCCAAGAAAAGGUUAAAGGCUUCUGGUGGACUAAACAUGCUUAUUCUGACAUACUUUGGACUAGCCCCAAACCUCUCCCCACUUCUUGCUAUUAUCUUAUGCUCUCUUAAACGACUCUCCCAGUCUAUAUCCUCCUUGCUGUGCAACCAUGCAAAAGCUGUUUGCAGAAAAGCAAAAUAUGUCAGAAGAGAUUUUCAAAUGAGCCUACAAUAAAGUUGGGGUGUCCUAUUUCAAAAGUAACAAAAAUAAUAUUGAUCUAAUUAUGAGCAUUACCAGGAUUUGAAUACAUGUACUUUCCAGUGAAGUUGCAGUAAUCUCGUGGGUACUUUGGCAGACUGAAGACUCUGCUGUUCUUGACAACAUUUCGCAAUCUCUCCCACCUUUCUUUCAGAAUGCUAUGGCUAUACUCAAAGAAGUUCUCUGAAUCAGCAGUCCUACAACCUUCGCCAAGCACUCCAAGAAUCUUCGCAGCUCGAAUCUGAGAUUCUUUAGAUACACCGAUGGAACUGAUCUGCAUGUAUUCAGUCAUCUUUCUAGCUACCUCUUUAUCCUUAACAAGUGCCCAGCUUCAAUUUGGAAACAAAAUAAUUAGCAGAAAGGAACAAGAAUGAACUACAAAUUAAACACAGGCAAAGAAGAAUGAUAUAUUGUUGCGAUCUUCUUAUUCCAACAAGUCAUGCAUGGCGACAUUAAUCUCUUUAACUAAAGAAUGUCCUGCUCACCCAAUCCGGGAACCAGCAUGUCCAGUGCAUUUGGAAAAUGUGAACAGCAUAAUAUCAUGAUCCAAGGGUUGAGUGAUAGGCGUGUAUUGUGGCCAGUAGUAGGCAAGGUCAUAGACAAGCUUCCCUUCUCCACGGUUCACCACAGCUUCUCGGACAGCACCGUCAGGAUUAUUCGGCGAGGUUACGACCUCAAUAUAAGGUCCAUCCUUAUCGAAGGUGUGCGCAUCUCCCUCCCAUUUAUAGAGUCCUGAACGCAGGAAUUCUGCCUGAUCUUUAUAUCCCUGCAGGCAAUGAAUAUCACAGGCACAUAAAUGAAUUAAUCUUCCACGACGAAUGAAGGGCGCCGGAGAAUUGACCUGUCCUCUUUUUUUUUCUUUUUUCUUUUCACCAUAGACGCACCAUGAGGUAAGAAACCAAUACAUGUCUUGAAUUAGUAUUUUGUCAGUCAAGUAACAUGAACAGGAAAUUAAGAAAACUUGCAAUCACAUUAUGGAUUAAUUAAUCACAUAUGCGUAAAUAAAUGCAUGUGAAUAAGCAUGCAAGCAGUCAAGCAUUUGCAACUCUGUUGAUGCCCAAUUGCAUAUGAUAUAAUUAAAUAAACUCAAGAACCGAGGUUCUGCAGCAAAGUUUGUGGAAAAUGUGGGUAACAUGCAAAGUUGUCUGCUCCAAGGACCGCAACAAGGGAGAUGGAUUUGCUAUUUUCUAAGAUGAAACAUCUUUGUUCCUGCUCGCGUAGCAAACGCCAGGCGCAAGUUCUCCCAAGUUUUGACACAAACGAGACAUGGUCAUGUUACCUAAAUCUUAGUUUCUCUUUACGAAACAUGUUUGUCGCCAUGUCUUUUGUUACAAACAGCACUCAUUUUUAUUUAUUGAUUAAUGAGUUAUUUUAUUUGUAAGAAAUACCAUUAACGUGAUGUUCUUAUUAAAUUAAGCUCUUUCUUUUUCAGAAAUAAUCUUAAUGAUCUCGCACGUACGACUUUUUCACUGAUGGCUGCGCCGGCCAAGCUUAAUUUCCUUAACCAGGCAAAGAUGGCUCUCUAAAUAAAUAAAUACAUGAGAAAUUAAAAAAGUAAACUAAAUUUAAGCAGUUCUGUUUUAUGCAAGACAAAUAAACAAAAAAAAAGAAGAUUAUAUUAGAUACUCUUGUUGGUUUGACUUUGACUUAUCAAAACUGUCUUGGCUGGUUUCAGAUCUCCUAGGUAUACAUCCUUAGAGGAUCUGACUCCUCUAAUGUUAGAGGUGACCCGCCUCAUCAUGUCAAAAAACUAAAAUUAGAACGUUGAUUUUGAAAUUUAUAAUUUGAAUUUUCUCAAAUAAAAAAAUAACUAUUAAUUUUAAAAAUAAAAAAAGAUCUGCCCACCAAGUAAAAUAAAUCUCAAAUACUGUGUUUUAGAUUAAUAUAUAGAUUUUCUUAAUAUAACGGAUCAUGCUAUCCCUAACUUAAAGGGAGAGCUCAUUCCAAUCGUUUGAAGAUCGUCAUUGAGUUCCAUGAGUAGGUUAUUAAGCCAGUAUUGAGUCUGGUUUUACACCAUCAGAUCAAGUGAAAGCAUGUAAAGACUUGCACCAAAUUAUGUAAACUGAAAGAAGUUUGAUGAGGAAGGGAGCGGUGGCUACCGAGUAAAAAGGAGCAGCAGCUACAAGACUGACGGGGUGGCGAUCAGCCGGAGAAGAGAGAGCAUACAGAGCAGCCAUUAAGAGCUGUGUUGAACCUGUCCCAACCACGAUGUGGCGAUCCUCUGUUACUGCGUUUCCAACAACACGAUGCAGUCGCUUUAUGGCAUCACCAAGUUGUGGCUGCAAAAACCAGCAAAUGUUGCUAAUAUCACUGAAAUAGCUCAUCAAAUCACACCCUUCAAUCAUCAACGUACACUUGUCUCCCAUUUUCCUCCAGUAUGGCUCGAACAACGUUGGAUCUCCCCUGCAUUUCCGCAUAACACAUCACUUCCUCGUACGUUAAGAAAAACUCUAUCCCAGAUAACAACACUACGUGAUAAUUAUACCAAACUAAAACUGUUAAACCGUAAAUGACUAUAGCCAGGCCAUUGCACCGGCGCAAUGUAGCCACAACGAGGUGGUGUAUGCUUUUAAUUUCCGAUAGAAAACAAAAGAAUUUAAUAAACGUGAACUUACUGAUCUAGAUUGAUCAUGGAAUCCGGUGAGAGACUUGUCUUUGUGGGCUUAGUUGUCGUCGGAGAAGAGUUUUGGUUAUUGGUUGCUCCAUUCUCUAAACCGCCCAUUUUUCUCUUCUCUUUUCUUCUGUUCUUUUGGUUUCCUCAACUACAGUCAGUGCUCGUGGUUUCUCGUAUACGUGCUUUGAUGGGCUAUGCAAAUACCUGUAUUUAUACUAAAUUAAUGAUGCGUCAGAAACUCUUUUUUUUUUUUUUUCAAUUCUGUAUAUGAGAGUACAUGUUAUAUUAUACGUGGGGGUGUUUUUAUUCUUGCUUUGCUUUGGUUUUUUUAUUUUUAUUAUGUUACCAAGCAUCUAGACUUUUGUAGUUAUAUUAUUCUAUAUUUUCUCAAGAAAAGUUGCAAGAUUAUCUGUCAAAUGCAAUUUUGCUUGUUUCCAUUCCAUAAUUAUUCCUAACCCAUAUUAACAUAUUAUCAUUGAUGGAAAGAUACAAUGAAUUCAAAACAUCAUAUGUGUUGUCUUAAAAAAAUUAGUUUGUAGUUAAAAAUAAUUUUUAAAAAAUAAAAACAAUAUUAUUUUAAUGUAUUUCCAAGUAAAAAGCAUUUUGAUAACAAAAUCAACUAUAUUAUCAAACAAACCCUGAAUUUUGAUGAUAACAUUUGAGAAAUUAUUAGUUUUUUUUAACGUACUAAACUGAUAUAAGGGGUGUAUUUUUAAUUUAUCUAGAAAAAAAAAAUCAAUCUCAAUACCUUUAUUGUUGAAAAAAAAACUAACAUGCAAUGUACAUAUAUCACGCUGCUCACGGGCUCCAAAACCUAUCAAAACAGAAUCUGAUCGCACGCGCGCGCGCACAUACAUGAUAUUUAAAAUACACAUAGCAUAAAUCAUGAGAGAUAUUGUAGAAAAUGAAGUUCCUAAAUGAGAAAUAAAUGAGAAACAUGCAAUAUAUCAACCAAUGAAUUAAGAGUGUAUUUAAAAAUGUGAUGGAAUCUUGCUUCUAAUUAAGGGUUUUAAAUUUUUUAUGUUUUUUAAUUAUUUUGAUGUGCUGAUAAAAAAAAAAAUUUAAAAUUCAUUUUAAAAAAAUUAUUUUAGAAAAGCUCAAUUCCCAAUCAAUUUAAUAUUGAAGGAUAGAAUCAUAAAAAAAAUCAAUUUAGAAAAAUAACUCGAGAUAACUAGUGAUAUUUUUAAAAUCAAUGAAAAAAUAAAUAAAUAAUAAUAAAGCCUACUCAGCCUAGCCUCCAAUUGAAUAAAUGAUAAAGGAUAAAAUUAAAAAAAAAUCAAGUAAACCCAGACGAACCUUCUAUAUUUAGGUUAACCUCUAAACUCACAACCCUUAAAAUCCUGGAUCUGGACUUAAUAUAGAGGCUAAAUCCCUGACCAAUUUAAUAUUAAAGGGUGAAUCCAAAAGAAACUUGGGCAUUUAUUACUUGGAUCAUAUUCGCGAUUUAUUUCCAUACUUGAACAAAUAAGAAUUUGGAAGGUUUAAAUUUUGUAAUUGUCGCUUCUAUAAUAGAACAGUUAAAUAGGAAAAACAAUAACAGUUUAAAAAACUUGUCAAAGUAAAAAAAAAAAAAACAAUAACAGUGAAAAAAGUUAGAAUCAAAUUUUAUAGGAAAAAGAGUCAAGGAAGAUGAAAAUAUGAAAAAGUUAAUUUAAAAAACCAUUUCAAACAAACCAAAUAGAAAUCAAAAAAAUGAAAAUCAAAUUUGAAAGAUUUAAAAAGUAAAAGGGGAUGAAAUUAAAAAAGAAUUCUGAUUUUAUAUAUUAUUCAAAAAAUUAUUACAAAUAUUGAAGGAUGAAAUUAAAAAAAAAAAAAUUUUAAAACUCACCCAAAGAAAAUUCAACAAAGAACAAAAAAAAAAAACCUUGAGAUAAGUUGAGUCAUUUAAAAAAUAAGUGAAAAACUCUAUAGAAAGCUAAUAAAUAAAAAUAACAGAGCUUAAUCUCUAAUUGAAUAAAUAUUAAAUGAUAAAAUUAAAAAAACAUGAGCUUAAAAAAUAAUUAAAAAAAAACAAGCAAACAUGAGCGAAUCACUUAAAGUCAAGCUAAUAUCUAAAACUUGCAACCUAUGCGAUCCUAAACCCGAACACAAUUAAGAAGCCUAAUUCAUAACUAAUUUAAUGUUGAAGGAAGAAAUCGAAAAAAAUACAAAUUUAAAAACUUUGUCAAAGUAAGAAAAAUAACAAUCAAAAGAAUGAAAAUCAAAUUUGAUAGGAAAAUAAACUUAGGGAGAAUGAAAUAAUAGAAAAAAAUAUUAAAAAUAAUCUCAAACAAAAUAAAUAGCAAUCAAUAAAUUGAAGAUCAAAUUUGAAAGAUAAAAAAAGUGGAAGAGGGGGAUGAAACUGAAAAGGAAUUCUAAUUUUGAUUAUUAUUCAAAGUAAAAUAAAUAAUAAUUAAAAAGGACAGUGACCAAAAGUUAAGAGAAAAAAUUAAAGGGAUUGGUUUGAAAUUUUGAACAAUUUGACUCAAAAUUUGAGGUGGAAAGAGAAGGAGGAAAAACAAGAAAUCGUUGUCAGUAUCAAAUACGAGGUGUGUUUAAUGCACAUGCCAUCCCGUCGUUGAGAGGAUACGAAAACCUUUUUAAAGUGUCAUUAAAUAUCGUGUUUGGUGACCAGACAAAUUGAUAAGCACCACUUGAAAGGUACUGGGAUCAUCGACUUGCUUGUGCGUGCCAUACACGUGUUUAAAGGUUUUUUUAAAAAUAAUGUUUAAUAAUAUUCAUAUAUAAAAGUGCUCUGAUUCUCUUUGAUAUUUUAAAAAAAAAGGCCACAAUAAAAGGACCGAAAGGCUCCUAAAAGAGAAUUUAGUGGAAUAUGUCAUUUAACUAUUUAAAAAUAAAAUUAAAAAUUAAAAUUAAAAUAAUCCUAAAUAUAUAUUAAUUUUUUUUUUAUUUGAGGGAUAACUAUAUAAUUUUAUUGUGCAUAAAUAAUAAGAAGAUUAAUAUGAACACAUUACAUUGCCCGUAAUGUCUAAGAUAAAGGUUUUAUUGUUUACGAAAUUUUUUGGUAUUAUGUUAUUAUAAUAAACAGUGUUUAGAUUCUUGAUUUUAAUUUUUUUAAUUUAAUUUAAUUUAAUUUGUUAGACUUUCCCUUUAUUAAUAUUUAAUAUAAGUGUGCGUUUAGAUUAGUAUUAUUAAGACAAUUGAUCUUUUUAUUAUUUUUAUUCAGUUGAUUCUCUCAAUUUUACCUAAAUUAUUUUUUAAAAUAUUUUUUUCUAUUGCUUAUGUUUUUUUCAUUAAAAAAAGGCAUAUAGCACACUCGAACGUCCACCAACACAUGAUUUGCUUUGUGCAAGAAAACAGAAAUCCAUGACUGAUGGUCGGUCGGCUUGAAUAUCAUGUGCCAUCAAUGAUGAUGAUGCAUGUGCUAUUCACUGAUAAAACAUGGGGCUUUUCAAACGUUCUUUGUAUUUAGACUUGUUAUUAUUAACAAAACAAUUAAAAGAUAAAUAAAUUAAAAUAUUGUUUCGGUUUCACGAGUGAGAUGAACAGUUAAACAACUGGCUUUCUUUUUUUCAUUUUCUUUUUUAUCUUUUAUCAUACCUUUUUAUAUAGCCUAUUUAGAAAACAAUUAGGCUUGGAAUUAUAAUAAAAAUAUAAAAUUUAAAGAUAAAAAAUUAACAAGUAAAAUAUAAAUAAAAUAUAUAGCAAACCACACAAUAAAAGUCCUUCUAUUUCAUUUGUAAUUAUAAAUUCAAUUCAAUAUUAAUUUAGAUGUUUAUUUUUCACCCACUUUUGUGUAAAACGUGCUAGCCUGACUUGCCAGACCCAACAUCACUUGAUUUUUUUAAAAAAAAAAUAUUUUUUUAAUUAAUGCCCUUAUAUAUAUAUAUAUAUAUAUUCAAAAUAAUUUUUAAAUUUAUAUGUAAAUAAUGCCUCAUUUUUCUUUUAUUUUGUUUAUCUAGACUCUUUUAAAUAAAUAUUAGUUUUUAGUUAUUUUAUAUGCAUUUAAAUUUUAGAGAGAUUAUUUUAAUUCAUCUAUAUUUUUUAUAUAUUUUAUAUAAAUGAAAUUUAUUUUAAAAAAAUUUAAAUAUUUAUUUUUGGAUAAUAUUUUUAAUAUAUGUAAUCUUGUAUAAUAUUUUUUUUUAUCUUUUAUUUAUUAAUUAAUUUCAUGUGUAUCUAUUUUUAUUAUCACUUAUUUAAAUAAAAAAUUAAUUUUUGUAAACAGAGUUGUGAAUUUUUGUAAAUUAAUUUUUAUUAUCUUGGUCUAUAUGUGACUUUCAAUUUUUUAGUUUUUAUCUUUAUUUAUCAUUAAUGACUUUUUAUUUAUUUAUUUAUUAAUAUAUAUUAAUUUAUUUUAUUAGAUGUACCUAUAAGUUUUUUAAUUUUAAUUAAAAAAAAUUUAAAAACAUAUAUAUUUAUUUUUUAUAUAUAAAAAAAAAUCCUUCCCACAACAAAGUACAAGUGAAAGAGCUAUUAAAAACUAGCCAGUAUAGGUUUGAUAAAGAGGAUAUUGGGCUGGUAUAUCAUAUUAUUACUGUUAUUAAUUUUUACCACUAUAUAAUAAAAAAUAACAACAGUGCAUUAUUGUGCUCAAUUUGGGCGGGACUUGUCGCACGUGUGUGGCGGCACGGCGAUCGUCCACCCUCAAGGAAAAAUCAGAAUAAUUUAUUCCUGGCAAAUAAAAUAGGGAGAGACAAGGAAUUCUUGUCUCUACAAGUGAAAAUAUGGACUGGGAGUCGCCACCUAGUAUUCUGGUUACUAGGAACCUUAACUGGUCUUUAGAGAUCGGGUACGGAGACUAGUUGCGUAAAGGGAAGGUAUUAGCACCACAACUACGUCCUACUUAAGGUAGACUGCAUUGUUUUAAUGUCUGAUAAAAUCUAAAAUCGUGUUGUGGUUUUUUUGAAUUUUUGGUUCGUUUACGGUUUAAGAAAAGUCCUCCUCUGUAAGGAGGUCCUUAUCUUUAUCGGGUAAAAAAAGUACUAUUCGAAGUCGUCAAAAGAAAAUAUUUUUUUAAUAUCAGGAAUACGAUUUACGCAUAAAUUCAUAAUCCCUGAUACUAAAAUCAAACAAAAUAAAAUAUUUGUUGUUUUUUGAAAUUUUGGCCAAUGUUCUCUUGACUUUAAUAAACUGGUUAUUAAAGCCAAAAUGCAUGCUAAAAUAUUGUUUUUUGACAUAUGAAAAAUACGAUAUGAUUUUUUAGAUUUGAGACACUUGGCCGUAUGUACAAAAACAUUUUUUUAUCUUUUUUUCAAUUUUUUUUUAUUUUUGGAAGUUUUUGCCGAAAACCGAGUAUUUUAAUACCGGAUUUAUAUUUUUACGAUGUAAAAAUACUGCCCGAUAUCAAUCAAAAUGACAUACAAACGACGCGGAAAAAUUAUAAAAUGCCGAAACAAAUAUUUUUGAUUUUUUAUGUUGUGUGAACAGUACCGCGGGACGAAAACCGGGUAUUUUAAUACCGAAUUUAUAUUUUUACGAUGUAAAAUACAGACCGAUAUUAAGCAAAAUUGAUAAAAAAAAAAAUGUGCUAAAAAAUUGUAAAAAAACUUCUGAAAAAAAAAAUUGAAAAAAAAAAAUUGAAAUGGGCCGGGUCCGGUAACCAGCCCUCUUCAGCUGCAGAACGUGAAUUAAUUCACGUUCUGCAUGCAAACGAGGGAGGCAGCAAACGGAGAAGGCGACAGGGCGGCGAGAGAUUACCUGCGGUGACGUCGUGGCGGUGCUGCCGGCGGCGUAGGCACGGUGGCGGAGGCCGGCGGUGGUUCUCUCUCUCUCUCUUCUGUUUUUCUUCGUUUUCUUCCCUGCUGCUUCUUCUUCUUCUUCUUCUUCUCUGCCCUCUCUCUUCUCUUCUCUUCUAUCUCGGUUCGUCUCCCUCUCCCCUCUGUUCUUCCUCUCCUUCUUCGGUUCCCUUCCCCUGUUUUUAUAGGCAAAAACAGGGGAAGGCCGAAUGGUGGGGCGGCCACUAUUGGCCGCCCCUCCACUAUCUGUUCAAAAGGUGGCAAGUGGGCUGGUGUGGUAGGUGUCUUAUUGCGCAAAAAUAGGGAAAGAGGUUAGGCGAAAAGGGAGAAGAAAAAUCUUCUUCUUCCCCUGCCUCGCGUGUCCAGGGGAAGAAGAAGAGCUACAGUGCCGUCAAAACGGCACCGUUUUGGGCAUCUGUAUUUUAUUUUUUUUUUUUUUGCAACAGUGAAUGAAACGGCGCCGUUUUGGUCAAAACGCGCCGUUUCAUUUAAAAGGAAAAGGCGCCAAAAGCAUCAGAUUCAAAUUUCGGCCCUCCAUUUGCGCGCGUUUUACAAUUUAGUCCUUGGUCUCGGAUUUCUUCAAUUAAGUCCCUAAUUGGCCAUUAAACUUCAAUAUUUAUGCAAUUAAGCCCCUAAUUUGACCAAAUUAACUUCCAAAAAUUUAAAUUUGACCCCAGAAAAUUAAUUCCUCCUAAUUAAAGCCCAAAUUAACUCCAAAAUCAAUUUUUCUUGCAAUUAAAAUCUUCAUAAAUGCAAUUAAACCUUCAAUAAAAUUUAAUUGAGUCCAUAAACUUCUAAUUUUGCAUUUUUCUUCCUCAAAAUUGAAUUUUCUUUAUCAUCGGGGCUCUCAUCAGUCAAUGAUAUACUGUCAAAAAUUAAUUUUUAUACUUUUGAACAUCCUCAAUCAAUUUUUGAACAUUUUUAGAGCGCUCUGGCAUUUUUUCACUGUUAUAUUUUUUGAUAAUAUAUUUUUUUGAAUUUUUUUAUAUUUUUUUUUAUGUGGGGACCCAAAAAUGGGUUACAACAGGACUUUUCAAGAACAAUGUUGUUUUCUUUCAUUUUGGUCAUCAAUGAUGAUGUUGUUUUUGCGUAUUCUUGGAAGUUAAAUUUGAAUUUGCUUCUCUUUGUACUCAUUGUUUUAGAGACAUAAGAAUUUGAAUUUAUAGUAAAAAAAAAUUAAAAAAACAAGUACCAAAAUAACUAAUAACAAUAUUAUCUAUUGUUCGAAUGAUGCAUAAAAAUAUAAUUUCAUCCUUAAAGUUUAAUUUAUGCAUAUUUGAUCUCUAUAGUCUUAGAAUUAUAUGUUUCAAUCUUGGACUUCUUUUUUUAUUUAUUUAUUUUAGUCUUUAAGUGUAGAGAGAUGCUAGAAAAAAAAGAAAAAAAAGACAUCACUCAGUCAGUUAAAAAAAUCAAUCUUGUUAUCAAUAAAUUUGUCUUACAUAAAUAAGUUCUAUAAAGAUGGUUUAGAAUUUUUAUCCGGUUAAAGUCAAAAACACAAAUUGAGGCUUAGAAUUUUUUUUUCUUUGGUUUGAUUCUAGAUGUUUAAUAGAUUGGAGGGCAUUUUGGGGUUAAAAUGAGUUUAAAGAGGUUCUUAAUAUAUACAUGUGUGUGUGUGUGUUUUAAAGUAAAAAUAAGUUGAAAAAUAGGUUUUGAAGUUGUAGAACUCAUACUUUAAAUUCAAAUAAUCAUGAAAGGUCAAAAUUCAAACUAGAAUGUGGUGCCUAUUGUUUUUUAUUAAAAAAAAAUAUUAGAAAAAAUAAAGCAUGGAAUAAAAGAUUUUUUAUGGUAAAAUUAACCAUUACUUUGUGAAUUAUGAUAUAAGAAGGUAAUAUGCAAAGUUUUUUAAAAAAUGUUCAUAACUAUUAAAUGAGAAUAAAACUAUUUUGUUAUUUUUUAUUAUAUAAUUUUUACAUAAUUUUGAUGAUUAAUUAUUCUUUUAUGUUUUUCUUCUAUUGUGUACAAAUUAUUGAUUCAUGAUUUUUAUAUUUUUUUAAUGAAAAUUUCUUUUCAAAUCAUAAUAAAUCUUUAUUUAGAAAACAAUACUUCUAUUAAAAAACAUGUUUUCUAGAAACAAGAAAGAAAUGCAUGAAUAAUAAAAGCGAUUUUUAAUUGAAAACGAUACAUUUUUCCCUUUUUUAAUUCAAAUAAUUAAUAUUUUUAUGAAUAUUUAUUUUAAUUAUUUUUAGUUUUUAUUCAAAAACAUGCUACUAAUUAAAAAAAAAAACAUGUUCUUGUCAAACAAAAAUACAUGAAUAAAAAUUGAAAAACUCACCUAACAAAAUAUUUUUUUUCUCCACAAUUUAAAUCUUUGUGUUUUUUUUUACAAAUAUCAAUUUUAAAUACCACAAAACUAGAUGAAAAAAGAUUUUGAAAACCGCCGCAUAAGGGAAAAAAUUAGUAAAUAUAUUAAAAGAGCUAGACUUUUUAUUGUAACUCUAUAUUGUUCAAAUAGAAAUAAAACAUUGUGAAUUACUUCGUAGAAAAACAAAGCAAUCUCUAUUGUUCACCUACAAAUAAGACAAUAUUAAUUGUAUACUCUAGCCCCUAAAGCUUUUAAUUUUUUAAUUUUUGGUCCUUUUAGUUUAAAGCCCGUUAGUUUUGGUCUUUAAAUUUCAUUUUUAUAAUAUUUCAUACCCUGUAUUCUAAGAGAGGAGAGAACAACUUCUUACUGAUUCAUAUUUAUUUCACACAAAAAUCAAUCAUAGUAUUAAUAAGUUCGUCAUCUUAGAAAGAAAAUGUAAAAUGAAGGUGCCUUUUCUAUUUAACUACACCUAAAAAUAGAUCAAAACAUUUUAUUAUAGAAACAAAACACUAUUCAUUUUACACUUUUAUCAUUGUAGUUUUUAAAUUUUUUUUUCAUAUUCGAUCCAUGUAAUUUUUGUUUUGUUCAUUUUAGUUUUCAAACUUUAUUUUCAUCACAUUUUUGUUCCUGGAUUCUAAGAGAGGAGAAAGAAAAUUGUUGAAAAACAAAAAAAAAUAUAUUUUUUAGCUAGCCAUAAAAGAGACUAAUCUUGGUGUUAAAAACUUCAUUCCAAUUAUUAGGAAUUUUUAUUGAAUUUCUUUAAGUUUGUACGGAAAAAACCAUGUUGUUGAUAAAAACAAAAAUCAUGGCUAUGUCAAAUUAUUGAAAUUAUUUCAAGUAUUUAUUUUAAUAGUCAUAAAAUCAAAUAUAAGCAGGUUUUAAAAUGACCCUGCGACUUCCUGUGGAUAACAAACUAGUAAACUAAACUAAAAUUGAGAAUAAAAUUGUAUUUUAAUCACAUUGUUUUUGUCUGUUACCUUUUUUCUUCUCUUUUCAAUCAAUUUUUUGUCUUAAAAAAUAGAGAAUAAAAUUGUAUUCUAAAUAAAAUUAUUGAGACGAUAUGCCAUGCUACAAUUUUUAAAUAAAAUUAUAGCUUUUAUGGUAAUAUUAAUAAUUGUUUUAUAAAUGAUAGACAUCAAUAACUAUGAAUUAAAUUAAUUUUUUCUUAAUGAUAAUUUUUCAAACUCAUAAAAUUGUAGCUAAUGGAGUGAUUAUUGGAGAGGUUUCAAAACUUUAUACUUUUUAUUACAAAACUAAUAAAUCUAAAAAAAAUGAAUUAUUUUGUGUAAGAAUUUUUAGGCCUAUAAAAAUAGGAUUUGUGCUUCUGAUAAUUUUUUUGUAUUGGAGAUGAAAAGAAAGAAUAAAAAAUUUUAAAAGGAUAAAUAUAAUGAUAAUUUGAUUUUCAGUGUGGUAAUAAAUAGGAGCAACAUGCAUGGGAUCAUUCCUUUUAAAACCAAAAAGAAGAAUUUAUUGAAGGGGAAAUAAGAAAUAUUUUGUUAUUCCUAAGAGUGGAUUCUUUUUUUUUAAUUGUUGGCGGUCAUAUGAUUUUUUAUAUUUAGACGUGAUUUGUUAAUAGUAAUAAAUAAAGAUAAUAAGAAAUAGAAAGAAAUUGAUCACCUGGAUCGUGUAUAGAAUAAAUAGUUUAAUGGAAGUCAGAAUUUUCAAAAAUAUUUGGAACAUUUCAUUUUUAAAUAGAUGAUUUUUUUUUCAAGUGUUCACAAUUAUAUAUUAAUCAAGCUAAUCCUUUGAAUCUAGAUCAAACUUGUAACCAUGUUUUUUUCAAGUCUGGCACCAAUCAAUUCGACUACAAAGAAUAAUUUUUAUUAAAAUAUGUGCAAUUUAUUAAAAACUUUCUUUAGAUAUAAAAUUUUGAGUAUUCAAUGAACCUAAUAUGCAUAUUUUUUUAAACAAAUUGCUUAUGAAUAUUGUAUGAAAAUAAAAUAUUUUUUUCUUUAUUAAAAAUAUUUUAUAUAAUUUUAUUAAAUUAAUUAUUCUUCUAUUUUUUUCAUAUAGUCAUGUAAAAAUUACCAAAGCAUUUGUUUGUUUGUUUGUUUACUGUGUCUUGUUUUUCAAAUCUAUAGGCAACUAGAUAAGCAAAUUAAAAUCUGCAGCAACCAUCCUUUGACAAAUGUUAUGAAUUUAGGCUAUGGGGUAGGUGGGAGGGUCGGAUUUUUUUAAUAACCAAGCAUUAUAUACUUUAUCUUUCGGCCCCCACCAACGCAGGAAGCACCUCGGCUGGUUCGUUGCCAUCACAGACGUUGACUUCAAAUAUUACUAGAUACAAAGUAAAUAAUCUUACAAUACUGUGAUGCACAGCAGAUGCAAAUCAGGACUUCAUUAGGGUUUGUCUGAGCUUGUAAUAUCCAACCAUGCCUUAUUUCAACUUCACUCAAGAGAUAGGCGAACCUGACUUGGUUACCGGGGAAAUUCCGGGGAUUAAAUCUGAAGCUAGUUUUUUUCUAAGCACAUCAGCAGCAGAAGGAUUACGCUCAUCAAGAGUCGCUGACAUCACAGGUGAGAGUUCUUCUUCAGAAUCUUUCAAAUCAAAUUAUGCAAAGCUUCCUGAUUACCUUAAGUCAUGCCUAGACUACUCUGCCAUUGUUUGUGGGAGAUAUGGUGUAGAGAUAGGAAAACUAGUUCGGCUUUUGUUGGCUGAAGGUCUUAUAGAAGACAGACCAGGGGAUAUCAUGGAGGAUGUAGCAGCAAAUGUUCUCAAGGAAUUGAUUGACCUAGGAAUGCUUCAAGAAGAACGACAAGGGACUGAAGUAAAAGUCCCUGCAUCGUAUCUCCGGUUAUGUAUUCUUAAAUUGGAGAAACAAGAUUUUGUUUCUAAAACUGCAAACUCACCUGUGCGUUUAGGGAUCAGAGAUGAUGGAAGGGAUAUCUAUCCUAAAGUUGAAGGCCUUCUAAUUCAUUCUCUGUUUAUUCUCGGUGCAGACCGCCGUGCUUAUUUUGAUUCUUACCGAGGCCUUUCACGGGCCUAUAUGAGAAAUGUUUGUGGUAUGCACUUUCUGUUGGUGUUGGAUUUGGAUUGCUGGAUAGAGCGCUUACCUGAUGAAUUGGGAGACUUGAUUCACCUGAGGUACUUGGGCUUGUUUAACUCAAAUCUAGAUGAGCUUCCAGGGACUUUAGGGAAUCUUAAAAGACUGCAAACUUUGGAUAUAAGGUGGUGUGGAGGACUACGCAAACUACCAAUACAAAUUCUGCAUAUCCAGCAGUUGAGACACCUUCUAAUGUCCGACAGCAUUAAUGAUUGUGAAAUUAGAGUUCCGAAGGGCAUUGGAGCAUUGGUAAAUCUUCACACUUUGUCUGGUAUUUAUGGUGGAGAUGAUAUUGCCAUGGAAUUGAUUGCCUUAACCCAGCUACGAGAGCUAGGCGUUAAGCGUGUGACUGCCGAUCAUGCCAGUGAGCUGUUUGCAGCUAUAGAGAAGAUGGAGAACCUCACAUCCCUAUCGCUAGAAGCAGAGCGAAACUACUUUGAAGGUACUAUUUUUCCUGAAUCGGAUGCGUUUUCUCCUCCGCCACUUCUUCAAGAGUUUUUCUUAAGUGGGGGAUUAAUUGAGAUGCCCGUUUGGUUUGCCUCCAUGGAAAACCUCACCCGCCUAUCAUUAUUGUUUUCUUAUCUAUCCGAGAAUCCAACUUCAGUCCUUCAGUUUCUUCCCAAAUUGAAGCAUCUUCAACUCUGCCAUGCCUACAAGGCAAGGCACAUUGGUAAAGAAUUUUGC